GGAAGUGUGGCUCAAGUGGUAGAGCACUUGCCUAGCAAGCAUAAGAUCCUGUGUCCAAGGCCUAGCACUAUCA
rnacentral:tRNA from 1 species